GUGAGGAAUAUUGGUCAAUGGGCGAGAGCCUGAACCAGCCAAGUCGCGUGAAGGAAGAAGGAUCUAUGGUUCGUAAACUUCUUUUGCAGGGGAAUAAAGUGCAGGACGUGUCCUGUUUUGUAUGUACCCUGAGAAUAAGGAUCGGCUAACUCCGUGCCAGCAGCCGCGGUAAUACGGAGGAUCCGAGCGUUAUCCGGAUUUAUUGGGUUUAAAGGGUGCGUAGGUGGUUUGAUAAGUCAGCGGUGAAAGUUUGCAGCUUAACUGUAAAAAUGCCGUUGAAACUGUCGGACUUGAGUGUAAAUGAGGUAGGUGGAAUGCGUGGUGUAGCGGUGAAAUGCAUAGAUAUCACGCAGAACUCCGAUUGCGAAGGCAGCUUACUAAGCUACAACUGACACUGAAGCACGAAAGCGUGGGGAUCAAACAGGAUUAGAUACCCGGGUAGUCC
rnacentral:rRNA from 1 species